ACGUAUGAACGACUUUAAGUGUUCACACAGUUUGUUUGAUGGUUGUAGGCAAUGGAAGAACAAAGGAAAAAGUGAAAGAUAGUAUCUUUACAUGUUGUCCCCAUCGUCUAGAGGCCUAGGACAUCGCCCUUUCACGGCGGUAACCGGGGUUCGAAUCCCCGUGGGGACGCCAUUUAAAGAUGAUUAUCCGUCUUAUCUGUUCUUUAAAAAUCCGGAAACAAGCUGAAAACGAGACUUUCAAGGAAGUCUGAG
rnacentral:tRNA from 1 species